ensembl:lncRNA LINC00598 long intergenic non-protein coding RNA 598
GCUCUGGUGUCAGAGCGUCUGUCUGCACAGCCAGCCCUGACGUGUCUUAGAUGUGUGACACAGUAUCACCUCUUGAAGACAGAGCUCAGACAGUGUGGUGUAAAGGGGAGAGGAUGGACUUCGGAGUCAGGGUUGGGUUCAAAUACUGGCCAUACCGCUUACCAGCCAUGUGACCCUGGAGAAAAGAUGGCUAUCCCGCCCAAUGUUUGGCCCCCUCCUGCAAAGGCCAAAACAUUCGUUGGGUUUUUCCUUUACUGUCUAAAUAAAGAAGAAUUUGUGCACAGUCUGAGUGGGUCAGGAUUUCAUCCCAUGGCCAUGUGGGAGCUCCAAGAUUUGAUCUCCGGGCUGACCUGUGCAAGCAUCCUGCCUCAUUCCAUUUGGCUGAAGCUCCUGCUCCACUUCUUGCUGGGCUGUGACCAUUCAGGAUCCCCCACUGUCCACCAGAGUCAGCACCUAAAAUGAGUGGGUCCUACAACCAGUGCUUGAGAGCACGGCCUCGGGACCAGAGCACCUGCCUUUCCAUCCAGUCCCUGCUUCUCAUGAGGAAGGUGUCCUUGGGGUGACACUACGAAAAGAGAUCAUCUGUAAAGGAGGUAAUAGGGUGGCCUGUGAUAUCUAUGUUCCUGUUACCAUGAAGAGAUAAUAUGAAGUUUUGGGAGAGAAAAUCUUUUUCUGUCUGGUGUUUUUCAAAAUUUUGAUGAUGGACUCACAUCAAGGAUGAAGAGCUUUGAUGUCAUUUGAACACCACCACCAUCACCACCACCAGCAUCAACAAACAAACAAGCAAACAAGCGUGAACUCAGGAGCCCUGUGGCCCAGCCUCCAGUCCAUUUCCUCACUGUGAUCUGGCUAAGUCACCUCCCCUCCACCUCAGUUCAGUCACCUACACAACAGGAAUGGUGGCUCCUGGCGUGAAAAGUUCUUAGGAGCAUUCAGCAUGAUGCUGUGUGGAGCACUUGGAAACUGCGUGUGCAUCACCUCAUAUUUCUGGCCACAGGUCAUUCAGACAUCUGCCCUUUGCCCUGGAGGAGAACCACUAGGGACUUGUGCCCAUAAGCACCAAUUCUGGCUUUUACCCUACCCAUCCUUUGCCAUCCCAAACUAUGCCAUCAACAAAUUCUAGAAAUCAAGUUAGAAAUGCUGUUCCC